AGCAGCCGCGGUAAUUCCAGCUCCAAUAGCGUAUAUUAAAGUUGCUGCAGUUAAAAAAGCUCGUAGUUGAAUUUCGGGACCAAUAUGUCGGUCGUGCCUCGGUACGUACUGGCAUCGUUGGUUUCUCCCUUCUGACGAACCAUGAUGUCAUUUAUUUGGUGUCGUGGGAAAUCAGGACUGUUACUUUGAAAAAAUUGAGUGUUUAAAAGCAGGCUCACGCUUGAAUACAUUAGCAUGGAAUAAUAAAAUAGGACGUUUGAUUCUAUUUUGUUAGUUUCUAGGAUCGACGUAAUGAUUAAUAGGGAUAGUUGGGGGCAUUAGUAUUCAAUUGUCAGAGGUGAAAUUCUUGGAUUUAUUGAAGACUAACUACUGCGAAAGCAUUUGCCAAGGAUGUUUUCAUUAAUCUAAGAACGAAAGUUAGGGGAUCGAAGACGAUCAGAUACCGUCGUAGUCUUAACCAUAAACUAUGCCGACUAGGGAUCGGAUGAUGUUAAUUUUUUAAUGUACUCA
rnacentral:rRNA from 1 species